rnacentral:lncRNA from 13 species
ACUUUGUUUCGGGCUUUGUGGAAAGCCUGCCAGCCUCUGUCAGCAUCUGGGCGGCGCAGCCAUGCCAGCCGCGGUCCGUUUCCUUAGUCCCCACAUCCCUGUGGGUCAGCCCCUGUCCUGGGGUCCACUUGGCUGGACCGUGUGUCUCAAAGUGGAGGGGCUGGGUUGGAACCCAUGAGGUCGGGAGCCCAAGCCCUGCUCUGGCUGCUGGGUUCCCCACCUCUCGUAUCUGGGACCCUCCCCGCAAAGAAAGAUCCAGGGACCCUGAGCUUCUGCUUGGGACGCAGUUUUCAGGUAAGAGCUCAGAUGGUUGCAUCCGCUCUGGGCAUUUUCUUAGCAUUUUCCCUCGUAUGCUGUCACACGGAAUGAGCAGGUGGACGUGCCACAGGUGCCUGUGGACAGAGGAGGCUCAGUGAGGCAGCGGCAGGCACACUCGCCAGGGUGUCAGGGCCCCCAGCCCCUCGCAGCUCCGAGCAUCCUGGCCAUGUCUGCGUUGGCACAGCGGGCUCUCCUAGCCCAUGGCAGUUGUGGUUCUCUCCCCUACCCGGCUCUGGAAAAAAGUGCACAGUCAGGUGACCAGAAGGAGUGAGUUCAGGGCUGGGGUCCUUUCAGUCUGCCUCUUGCGGUUGACAGUGCUGACAGAUGCCCCUCCUGGUGCCAGGCCCUGAGAGUGAGUUCUGGGGCCCAGUGCCCACCGUCAGUCUCCUCGAGGCUGCUUAUCUCUGACCUUCCUUAGGCCAGCUGCGGAAUUGGGUGGGACGGAUCCAUUACAGGUCUUGUGUCUCGGCCACAAAGUGGGGAGGUGCCCACAGGUCCUUACCGUCUGUUGCUUGGAAGUCCCAGGUGCCUGUGUGCCCAGUGGAGGAGGAUGCCCUGGGCCCGCAGAGGUCUGUGCCUGCCUCCCUGUCCCCCAGGAGAGACCUGCAGUGACAGCCAUGCUUUGUCUUUCAGUACAAGGUCCUGUCUGUCCUCCUGGGUUCAGGCAUGGGGAUUGCUGUUUCCACGCCAUCAACCCAGAAACCUGUACAGAGAAACCUCUCUGGCUGCCCCAAGAGGUUCUCGCAACCUUGUGUCCUGCUCUCCAGAGGCCGGAAGCUCGUCCACCACCAAAGCCAUAGCUGAGGAGUGCAGGGCCCAUCCCCCUGGGGACAGGAAGAUGUCAUCGUGGAGGGACAUGGGGGCGCUUCACCAACCACUGAGACGGGCCUGGAAGUCCUCCUUCCCCUUCCACAAGACCAUCCGGCUGCGUUUGCCCUUGGCACUGGGUCAGGGCUGGGCACAGCGUCCCUGCCUGUGCUCUACACUUGCUCCAUGGGAGCAGGAGAGUGAGACGGGCCCACCCCUUGCCCGCCCUCUGCCCGCCCUCGGUGUCUUCCGUGGCGCUUUCCUCGCCAGCCUCCAGGGCGCUCAGCCCCUCAUCAGUGAGGGCGCCUGCUGCUCUCUGCCUGACGCGCCGGCCAGGAGGUCUGUGGCGGGUGACCAGUAGGGCAUAGGAUGGUGUGCAGGGAAGAGCACAUCUUUCUCACACUUAGCUCUUUGGAAGGCCCAGGAGAACAUCCAAGAAGGCUGUCGGGGGUGCUCUGAGCACUGUGGCUUGUCCAGCCCGUGGCCUCUAGGCUGCGGCUGCCUGGAUUGGUGGGGGGAGGGAGCGGGCAGCAGCGUUCCGGGUCCGUGGUGGCCCAGGCUGCAGCCACCUUUGGGCCGUGGGAGCAGCUCGGGCAGCUCCUGUGCUUUAGGGAGCGCCUGUGAGCCGAGCCCAGAGGCUUGGGCCUGCACUGUCUACAGCCGAGGCGGCACAGUCUUCCCUCCCCUACGUGCCUAGUCGUGCCAGUUCAGCACAGACCCCUCCCAGCCCCCGCCCCGCCCCAGGGAAGCCUGCACUUCCUGGGAACAAGGUGGGUUUGUGGAGGGAGCACCCCACAGGCCUGCUUCGCUGGGGCGUCCUGCACUGGGCUGAAGGGAGGGAAAGGAGGCCUGGGCCUCGUGGACGGAGGUGGCUUGCGCGUCUGCUGGGGUGGAUUCCGCAGCCCCCUCAGCUCGUCCCUUGGGUGUCGUUGAGAUUGUUGUUUUUUGAAGAAACAGAAGAUUAUAUUUUUUACAGAGAGCAAGCUGUUUUUCUUAUUUUUAUAUCAUUUUUCAGAUGUAAUUUUUACCUUUGCUCCAAUCCUCAUUUCCUGGUGUGGGUGAGGGGUCCGGGGGCACGGGCUGGUUUCACCUGCUUCCUGGGGGCUGCAGGGUCACACGCUGGGGCCGGGGUGCUUUGCAGGGAGCCGCGCCGACCACCAGAUUAAGCACACAUCCCAUCCCGGGCAGCAGAACCCCCUCAGUUCUAGGCU